CCUGGUUGAUCCUGCCAGCAAUCAUAUGCUUGACUCAAAGAUUAAGCCAUGCAUGUCUAAGUAUAAGCAAUAUACAGUGAAACUGCGAAUGGCUCAUUAUAUCAGUGCAAAUCUAUUUGCCAAAUAAAUACUGCUUGGAUAACUGUAGUAAAUCUAGAGCUAAUACAUGCACAAAGUGCUGACUAGGGGAAACCUUGGAAGGCAUGUGUUUAUUAGAUACAGAACUGAUGUAGGGCAUUUAACUCUAUCAAGCAAUUGGUAGGGGUCCUACUUCGAUGAUGAUUCAUGAUAAGCUAACACGAAUUGAGGGCCUAUGUCCUCGAUGGUGCAAACGAUGUUCUGCCCUAUCAACUUUCGAUGGUAGUGUAGUGGACUACCAUGGUUGUAACGGGUAACGGAGAAUCAGGGUUCGAUUCCGGAGAGGGAGCCUGAGAAACGGCUACCACUUCCAAGGAAGGCAGCAGGCGCGCAAAUUACCCAAUCCCAAUACGGGGAGGUAGUGACAAGAAAUAUUGAUGUGAGACCUUAUAGGUAUCACGAUCGAAAUUAGAACAAUCUAAAAACCUUAACGAGGAACAAUUGGAGGGCAAGUCUGGUGCCAGCAGCCGCGGUAAUUCCAGCUCCAAUAGUGUAUAUUAAAGUUGUUGCGGUUAAAAAGCUCGUAGUUGAACUUUGGAGCGGAUGACUGUACCUCCACCUCUGUCCUUGUGUCAGGGGUGGGUCAAAGGGGUGGUUAUCUCAACCAUUGAUGGGGCGUCACAUUAAAGGUCUGUAGGUUUGGGUUAACGCCUGGCUUAUGGAUUGUGUUGCCUUCUUUACUGUGAAGAAAUUUGAGUGUUUAAAGCAGGCAAGAAUGUUUUGAAAACAUUAGCAUGGGAUAAUGAAAUAGGACCUGAUCCUUACCUUCAUUGGUUCUUAAGGAAUAGGUAAUGAUUAAUAGGGACAGUUGGGGUCGCUAGUACUGAGUGGCUAGAGGUGAAAUUCUAUGACCCACUCAAGACUAACAAAAGCGAAAGCAUUCGACAAGGAUGUUUUCUUUAAUCAAGAACGAAAGUUAGGGGCGCGAAGAUGAUCAGAUACCGUCGUAGUCCUAACAGUAAACGAUGUCAACUUGGGAUUGUAAGGCGUUACAUGGAUGACCCUUGCAGCACCAUGUGAGAAAUCAUAAGUAUCCAGACUCCGGGGGGAGUAUGGUCGCAAGGCUGAAACUUAAAGGAAUUGACGGAAGGGCACCACCAGGAGUGGAGUCUGCGGCUUAAUUUGACCCAACACGGGGAAACUUACCAAGUCCGAACACGAUGAGGAUUGACAGAUUGAUAGCUCUUUCUUGAUUUUGUGGAGAGUGGUGCAUGGCCGUUUUUAGUUGGUGGAGUGAUCUGUCUGGUUAAUUCCGUUAACGAACGAGACCUUAACCUGUUAAAUAGAGAUACAAAAGUGAGGGUUGGAGGGGUAUCUCCUUGUGGGGUAUCUGACUG
rnacentral:rRNA from 1 species